rnacentral:lncRNA from 1 species
UGACGCCUCCUUUCAGAGUUCGAGCUUGGAGGUCCGAGCUUCUCGUCAAAACCCUGAGGAAGUCGUCUUAUCUCGGGCCUGCGUUGAGAGCUUUCUUGAAGGUCGGGGAUUUUGAUAAGAACCCUAAUCCUUGCUGGGACGAGGUUCCCUGCAUCUUUGAUGCUGUUUGUUUUUCGUUCGUCGCUGACGCAGUCUGUCGCUUUUCUUUUAACUCCCCUCUCCUUUCUCCUUUUUCUUUUUCGAGUGAGGGUUUUCCCUCUACUCUUGGCGGGGUCGC